rnacentral:misc_RNA from 1 species
CCCCCUGUCACCCCAAGAGAGUUGUAACACCCAAAGCCGGUGAGAUAACCUUCGGGAGUCAGCCGUAUAAGGUGGGACAGAUGAUUAGGGUGAAGUCGUAACAAGGUAGCCGUAGGAGAACCUGCGGCUGGAUCACCUCCUUUCUAAGGAAUAUACGGAGGGUACACAUACUUGUUGAAACAAUGUUCAGUUUUGAGGGGAGUGCCUCUAUAAACUUGUUCUUAGAAAACUAGAUAUUAUCAAUUAAAUUCCUUAGUAGAUGAUCCUGGCUCAGGAUGCACGCCGGAGGCGUGCCUAAUACAGGCAAGUUGGGCGCGGUGAGCCAAUUGAAGAUAGCGCAU